rnacentral:lncRNA from 10 species
AUAAUAGGCUGGGUGCGGUGGCUCAGGCCUGUAAUCCCAGCACUUGGGGAGGCCAAGGUGGGUGGAUCACUUGAUGCCAGGAGUUCAAGACCAGUCCAGCCAACAUGGCGAAACCCCAUCUCUACUAAAAAUAGCUGGGAAUGAUGGCACGAGCCUGUACUCCCAGCUACUUGGAAGGUUGAGGCAUGAGAAUCGCUUGAACCCAGGAAGGCGGAGGUUGCAGUGAGCCGAGAUUGCGCAACUGAACUCCAGCCUGGACAACAGAACGAGACUCUGUCUAAAACAAAAAACAACAACAACGAAAAAAAUCAUGACCCGAGCAGUGUUUUCUUUUCUUUCUUCCUUUUUUUUUCUUUUCUAAUAGAGAGAGGGGUCUCACGUUCCCCAGGCUGGCCUUGGACUCCUGGGUUCAAACAAUCCUCCUGCCUUUGCCUCCCAAAGUGCAAGGAUUACAGGCAUGAGCCACCACGCCUGGCCCUGGGAAGUGUUUUAUACUUUGGUCUUGCAGCUAUGACUGUGUGUGAAGGUGAUCUUAUAGUCAGUAGUAUCCUUAGAUUAUUGAGCUAAUGAACAGGUGUAUAGUAUUCAGUAUAAACUGUUUUACACUCAUAAUCCCUUUAAAACUCUCAAAUAACUCUAUGAAUUAAGUAUUACCUCCUUUUUAAUACUUAAUUCAUAGGGUUAAGAUGAUAAAAUUGAGGCUUGAAAGAUUACUCUGUCCAAAGUCAUAUCCAGGAAGAGAAGGAUCUGGGAUUUGAAUGCAGGCCUAUCUGACACCAAAAUAUAUACUGUAUCAACUACCUCUUACCACCAAAAGAUAAACGAGAACACAUUCCCCAGAGAGGUGAAAAUAAAUAGGACAGAGGAUAUAAUAUGUUGAAAUUCUUAGAGAAAAAGAGUUAAAAUAAAAAUCUAAGGCAUUGUGUUUGUUUUUCUGAAAAGGUAUCUGUAGACUUAGCCCUAAAGUUGUUAUGCUACUUCACUAAUUGACAUUUAAUUAUAUUAUAUUCCAGAUCUAGAGAGACAGGCACCUCUUUGUGACUAAUUCCACACUAACAAAAAGAGAACAGUAUGUGUAAAUCUGAGAAAAAGAGUGCCACAGCAAACUGAAAGCACAAACACCAAAGAAGUCAUAUGCGCCAUUGCACUCCAGCCUGGGCGACAAAAGUGAAACUCUGUCCUCCCACCACACAAAAAAAGGAAAAGAAAACAAGAAUCUACAUUAAUUAAAAUGUGCACCUCAUCUUAAACAUAUCUAAUACAUGAAAACAGAGAUUCGCAUAAUAGGUAAACCAGUUAUAACUCAUGUCCCAAAAUACCAUAUCAGUAAAAAAUAGUACAAUAAGACAACAAAUAAUACAAUAAUAUUAGUUUAAAUAGCAAGUUCCCUUAUAAUUGAUAUUAAUCCAAUUGAAAACUUUAAUUCAUAUAAACUUUUCAGUGUCUGAAUUUGAAAAUGCAAAUGCUAGACUUACUUGAAAUUUUUGGCCAGGCGCGGUGGUUCAUGCCUGUAAUCCCAGCACUUUGGGAGGCGCAGGUGGGUGGAUCACAAGGUCAAGAGUUCGAGACCAGCCUGGCCAAUAUGGUGAAACCCUGUCUCUACUAAAAAUACAAAAAUCAGCCGGGCAUGGUGGCAGGCGCCUGUAAUCUCAGCUACUUGGGAGUCUGAGGCAGGAGAAUCACUUGAACUCGGGAGGCAGAGCUUGCAGUGAGCCGAGAUAGUGCCACUGCACUCCAGUCUGAGUGACAAAGCAAGACCCCACCUCAAGAAAAAUAAAUAAAUAAAUAAAUUUUCAAGCAAGAUAGAUUUUAGCUUAGGCCUAUGUUCACAAGGAACACUACAGGGGAAAUGCUGUAGAGAAUGUGUGAACAAAGACGUGAAAAGAAGAAGGAAGAAGUGGAAAUAGAUGAAAAUUCAAGGUUGAAGAUAAAAUACAAGGUCACUAAAAGAACCAGGAAGGAGAAAUAAAGUAUGCAGAAAAAACAGUGCUGGUGGCAUUACUCCCAUGUCACAAAGGGCAUCUUUCCCAACUCACUCCAUUUUGCAGUGGUAGGAUAUUCUUCCUCAUUUAAGUUUUGGAGUUGGUAUAAUGAAACAAAAAUUAAUCACAAACUAAAAGCAAGCAUUCUAGCAGGGAAAGCCUUAACUCACAACUAAGAAAGUAGAGCAUUUGCAGGAGAAGCAGAAUGAUGUAGGAUUACUCCUAAUGACAUAAUAUAUAGGCUGGGUGUGGUGGCUCACGCCUAUAAUCCCAGCACUUUGGAAGGCUAAGGUGGGAGGCUCGCUUGAAGCCAGGAGUUCAGAUCAGCAAGGACCACAUGGCAAGAUCCUGUCUCUACGAAAAAUAAAAAUUAGAGCUGGGCACAGUGGCACAUACCUGUAAUCCCAGCACUUUGGAUGGCUGAGGUGGGAGAAUCGCUUGAGCCCAGGAGGUCAAGGCUGCAGUGAGCUAUGAUGGUGCCACUGCCCUCCAGCCUAGGCAGCAAAGUGAGAUCCUGCCUCAAACAAAACAAAACAAAUUUGUUGGGUGUGGUGGCACAUGCCUGUAGUCCUACCUACUCAGGAGACAGGCGAGAGGAUCACUUGAGCCUAGGAGUUCAAGGCUACAGUGUGCUAUGAUCACACCACAGCCUGGGCAACAGAGCAGGACCCUGUCUCUUAAAAACAAAAAAAGAAGCUAAGAAAGAAAUAGGCUGGGCGCAGUGGCUCAUGCCUGUAAUCCGAACACUUUGGGAGGUCAAGGCUGGUGGAUCACUUGAGGUCAGAAGUUUGAGACCAGCUUGUCCAACCCGGUGAAACCCCGUCUCUACUAAAAAUAUAAAAAUUAGCUGGGCGUGGUGGCACAUACCUGUAAUCCCAGCUACUGAGGAGGCUCAGGCAGGAGGAUCGCUUGAACCCAGGAGGCAGAGGUUGCAGUGAGCUGAGGUCGCGCCACUGCACUCCAGCCUGGGUGACAGAGACUCUGUCUCAAAAAAAAAAAAAAGGAAAAAAAGAAAAAAAAAGAAAUAUAUAUAUAUAUAUAUAAAUGGGGCAGCUAGGUGGGACAAUUGUGCCAUUCCUACUGAGACUGGAGUUCUCAUAAGACCCAUGGCGGCCAUAACAGAUCAAAUUCCUGUAGAGGAACCAUCCGUGACCAAGGAAGCAGACCAAUAAUUCAGUAAAAUGAUAAAAUGGUUCUUCAAUUUCAGUUCUCCUGUCCCCCCAAAUCUGGAAUUGUUAGGUUUGGCCAGAGAAAAAAGCUACAAGAGGGAGAAGCUCAAUCCUGACUUCAAAUAUUUGGACUCUAAAUUGCUUUCAAGACUGAAUACCGAAGCUCUGCUCAGCCCUUCAUGGUGAUUUGCAAGACAGUUCAAAUCUCUGCGGUAACCCUAUACAAAACACUUUCUCAGAAUAUGUGGGGAUACACAGGGUUUUGAGAACACUCCUCCAUUAUGCAUACAUUAGAAAUGGUUGGUGCCAUUAUCUCACACCUUCUUUACUUGCCAAGCUUCCCCCGGAACCUCCAGCUCAGAGAUCAUACUCUGCCCGCACAACAUACCCAGUACCUGGACUUCCAGGAAUCAGAACUUCAGCCCCUUCAUGUGGACCUUACUUUUUUGUCACGUCUUGGGUUGUCUUUUUAAAAUUUCUUUUUUUAGAUAGAGUCAGUUUCUUUUUCUCUCUCUCUUUUCUCUCUUCUCUCUCUCAUACAGGCUGGAGUGCAGUGGCACAACCU